UACAGAGACUGCAAGCGUUAUUCGGAUUCACUGGGCGUAAAGGGUGCGCAGGCGGCCAAGUGUGUUAGGCGUGAAAGCCCGGGGCUUAACCCCGGAAUUGCACCUAAAACUACAUGGCUAGAGCAUUGGAGAGGGUAGCGGAAUUCACGGUGUAGCAGUGAAAUGCGUAGAUAUCGUGAGGAACACCAGAGGCGAAGGCGGCUACCUGGACAAUUGCUGACGCUCAGGCAACGAAAGCCAUGGGGAGCAAAAGGG
rnacentral:rRNA from 1 species